rnacentral:rRNA from 1 species
CCCAGACUCCUACGGGAGGCAGCAGUGGGGAAUAUUGCACAAUGGGGGAAACCCUGAUGCAGCGACGCCGCGUGAAGGAAGAAGUAUUUCGGUAUGUAAACUUCUAUCAGCAGGGAAGAAAAUGACGGUACCUGACUAAGAAGCCCCGGCUAACUACGUGCCAGCAGCCGCGGUAAUACGUAGGGGGCAAGCGUUAUCCGGAUUUACUGGGUGUAAAGGGAGCGUAGGCGGCGAUGCAAGUCAGAAGUGAAAGGCCGGGGCUCAACUCCGGGACUGCUUUUGAAACUGUGUUGCUAGAUUGCAGGAGAGGUAAGUGGAAUUCCUAGUGUAGCGGUGAAAUGCGUAGAUAUUAGGAGGAACACCAGUGGCGAAGGCGGCUUACUGGACUGUAAAUGACGCUGAGGCUCGAAAGCGUGGGGAGCAAACAGGAUUAGAUACCCGGGUAAC